rnacentral:rRNA from 1 species
AACGAACGCUGGCGGCAUGCCUAACACAUGCAAGUCAAACGAGACCUUCGGGUCUAGUGGCGCACGGGUGCGUAACGCGUGGGAACCUGCCUUUAGGUUCGGAAUAACUCAGAGAAAUUUGAGCUAAUACCGGAUAAUGUCUUCGGACCAAAGAUUUAUCGCCUUUAGAUGGGCCCGCGUUGGAUUAGCUAGUUGGUGGGUAAAGGCCUACCAAGGCGACGAUCCAUAGCUGGUCUGAGAGGAUGAUCAGCCACACUGGGACUGAGACACGGCCCAGACUCCUACGGGAGGCAGCAGUGGGGAAUAUUGGACAAUGGGCGAAAGCCUGAUCCAGCAAUGCCGCGUGAGUGAUG